UCCUGUCUCCUGACAAAAACAUUGCAUGCAGCGCCUGUGGAGUGUGGAAAGUUACUGGAGCACGCAGCCGCGCUUGUCUCUCAACAAGGAACGUCACGGCAGUGAUUGACAAGCCAGAGGGCCAAUCCGCGCACGUCUCUCA